CGCGUAUGAACGCAAACACGAGCGAUGAUGACUAUGAAAUGCGCCACGCCCUGGGGUGGUACACUGUGAGCGUCGCAGAAACGUACAUCGGCCGCCGCCCAGAUGGAGCUCGAGCCAUCCACACACACACACAUCUCGCCACCGGUAUCACUUGGCAGGACGUUGGGGUUCCUUGGUGGAAGCACUUCAACAUCUCGAAGAGAACACAACUUCGGAGUUCGGAGCAGAGCAGAAUGUUCCCAAACUGGUUGGCAAACCCUGAUGACCAGGGCCCAGGAUAUGUGUCCUUCGUUGUAGUGCGGCAGGAGGACCAGCGUGGGGACAAAGACGCUGUUGUACAGCCAGAUGCCGAAGACCAUGCUGACACACAGCCAUCCCAGAGGGUCCACCACGAAGUGCAGACGCAGCUUCAUGACCCAGGAAGACCUAGGAGGACCAUAACAAUAACAACUACUCAACAUGUCUUCCCCUAUUAGACAUCCAUGACUCCAGUCCCUCGUCUAAUAAAGAAAUAGCUUUGACCAGGACUAAGGUAGUCUCAUAUGAUGGCUCAGAAGUUAGAUAGAGUACAGCGCUGCAAUACGUUACCUAUUUGGUGGUGUUUACAGCGCUGAGAAUAAGCAUUAUAAAUCAUUCAGUGAUAAAACAUAACAGGUAUUUGAUAAAACCGUACUUUGUCCAAUGACAGCCUACAUUUAGAUGGUAGAAAACAUACGCCUAGUACCUAACCUCACGCGUCUUUAUUUACUACGCAUAGGAUCCAUGUUAACCAUCAUUCAAAUCUGAGUGACCUUCCAUUCAGUGUUUUCCAGUCCUACAGUCCCACACGUCCCACACAGUGACGGCUGCAGCUGGUCCAACAUUAACCCACGCAGAACCUGUUUCUAUUGACCUUGGUGUGGCUGCAGUUUGAUCCGAGGAUGAAUGGAUGGGCAGGGGUGCAGUCCGUCUCUGGAGGGCUGCUCCUCAGCAGCAGUCACACAACGCUCCAAGCAAUCCUAGAAACAGACAACCUGAUACAGCAACCUACACCAACAUCACAGGCUGAAGGCAUGACUAUUCUAUCCCUCCAUACGGACAGCAUGAGUAUUUACCUUUUCGUUAGUGCUGUCUGAUUAAAAGAUAACAACAU